GCAGCAGGUGAUGGCAGAACAGACAGGGACAUCAGUACUCCUCUGGAGGAUGUUGAUGGGAAUCUCUCUGAUGCUCA